rnacentral:rRNA from 1 species
UACAGAGGUGGCAAGCGUUGUUCGGAAUUACUGGGCGUAAAGGGCGCGUAGGCGGCCUUGUAAGUCCUGUGUGAAAUCCCCCGGCUCAACUGGGGAACUGCACAGGAGACUGCUUGGCUUGAGUUCGGGAGAGGGAAGCGGAAUUCCGGGUGUAGCGGUGAAAUGCGUAGAUAUCCGGAGGAACACCGGUGGCGAAGGCGGCUUCCUGGACCGACACGUGACG